rnacentral:lncRNA from 1 species
UUCAUGAACAAAACAAACAAACUUUACUACAUAAUAUAUCAUCUUCUAAAACUAUCUAUCCAUCAAAAGUAGAUUGUUGCAGUAUGAGUUUCAAAAAUAAGGGACCGCCCAUUCCAAACAUCGAUCAGCGAAAGGACGUGCAACAAAUUGGACGAAUUGCAGUGGACAUACACAACGAACAAAAACCAGACACUUUGAUUUUCCAUCGUGUGAUAAACGGCCUGGAGAUAGGGAUUAGUGAUAUACAUGGACCUCGCAUAUUGUUGUAUACUCUUGUGGUGGAAGCUAUAAAUAAGGAUAAAAUUAUCUGGACAUAUGUGACUUCCAUUAAAAUUACAAAACCAUCAAGCUAUGAACUCGUAUCUUUUAAAGAUCCCCUCGGGUACUACACCUAAUAGUAUGAAAAUAAUCCUUCUAUAUGUGUGUGUGUGUGAGAGAGGCAUAAUUGUCUUUGGCCUAUAUGAAAAUAAAUGGUAUAACCAUAUAAUAAGAACAAUGAUACUUAUCUAUUAUCUUUCUUUCUAAUUUUUCUUUUUUAUCAAAUUUUGCAGUCAAGUAUACAUGGUGCAUUUCAGAAAUUAUAAUUUGUUAUAUAAUCGUAACUUGUUUGUCUGUCUUAGUACUUCAAAAGUAAUUAAGGGAGAGUAACCAAUGGCAACGCAUAUCUUUGACCUCAUUCUUUUGAAAAUAUAAUCGUAACUUGUUUGUCCGUCUUGUUCCAAUUUUUCUUGUUUUUUUUUGGGGAGGGGGGUGGGAAACAACAAUAUUUUCGAUAAACGAAUGUUGUUCCGCUUUCAAGUUAAAUUCAUCAAAGGAAAUGGCAGCUUGUCUUGAGAACGUACCAUCUAUGUGUGGGUUCCUUUCAAUUAGCCAACGUCCCUUCACAGGUAUCACAGUUUGGACCAGAAAUGUGUUGCCCUCCUUAUCAAUGAUGUUUAUUGUGGCUGGUAUGAACCCAGUAUAAUUGAGUCUGACUUUAAUGUUUGCCUCUACGAUGUCGAAUGCAUUUAGGUUGUUCUUUUGGGGCUUUUUGCUCUUUUUGAAUGCAUUCCUUUGUUUCUUAUAAAAAUGACGAUGAAAAUCAUAGACAUGGUUUCAUUGGCCUAAGCCUUGCCAAAUUGGAUGGAGCCAUGCUGUAGGAGAUCUCACUCCCAUUUGGUUACUCUUCAUAAAGAUUUAUUUUUUUUCUUACAAUAAAUGUGAUGUCACUCCUCGUGAAGAAACCACGUUUAUCUCCCUUAUGGUGAUUAGUUUGAAGUUAGCAUUUAGUGGUAUUCAUUUGACAUUAUUGGAUUUAUGGGGUUGAGAUUGUUUCAAAGCUAUCAAUGUCACGUAGAGACUUUUUGUUGAGACUUUUUGAGGACCUUUUAGGUUGGUUUUGGAUUCGAAAGUCAGAUUUAGGCCAUGCGUCUUCUGUAAUUUGAACCUCCACGUUAAAAUAGGACUUAAUCAUUUUAAUGUACAUUUUUCAGAUUUAUGUAGUUUGAAGGAGCGGGGAAUGAAGACUUUUUUAGUGAGUUAACUAUUUUUUGUGUUGUAAUUUUUUUUUUUUGUUCAUUUUGGUAUGCCAAAGUGAAAUGUAAUAUAGCUCACGAACCUUGACACACUAAAGAAUGAUUGUUUGCCAUAUUUUGACCAAGUAUUGAAUUGUGGAUUGUGAUAUUAAUGGUUGAAAAUAUUUUUCAUUUUUAAAUUUUUGGUUGCAGUGUUUAAUGUAUUAUGGUGUAGGAAAUUCAUUCUACAUGUAAAAUUUAAUUUAUAAGCAUACAAUAUUAUAUUAAUAAUAAAUGUGGAAAAUUUAAAUUGUUUUUGUCAUGUUCUUUGUGUGGUUAGAAAUAUGUUGGCAAUUAGAAAGUUCUGCGACGUUUAUGCUUGGACAAAAAAAACAAAUAUUAUUUAAAAACAAAUUUAGCCUGGGGAGAAAUUUUGUUUUGUCCACAAAGAUCUUUUCGUUGGCAGAACUAGCUUCCGCCCACGAAACAAACGUGGCCAGAAAGUUUAUUUUUGUCGACGUGAUGAUGAUCAUGGGUAAAAAAAUACCUUUCGUUUUUUUGUGGUCAGAAGGUUUACUUUUGGCGACGUGAUGUAAUCAUGGGCAAAAAUACAUUUUUGUCGACAUUUUUUUCGUGGCUAGAAAUAUUUUUUCUGCCCACGAUUUUAAUUUGCAUGAACAUUUGUGCCGACGCAACGUAAAAAACGUGGGCAAAGAAAAAGACGACGGUGUUUCGGCCACCCAACGUGCCCACGAAGAAAAAGUGUUGGCAAAAGGUCUGGCCACGUUUUUCAUAAGAAGUGUCCAUGGUUUUCUGCGUGGGCAAAGACGAAAAUUCUUGUAGUGUUUUUUGUUGUAUGUUUUAUGUAGCCAUAAAAAAUAUUCGGGAAACCUUUUCUCCAAGAAGAAUCCGGUUGUAUGUGGGGUAUCCAAUUACCAUCUUAGUUUCCCUCUAAAUCCAAGUUUACUAAGUUAUCUUGAUGGGUAAAAUAAAUUAAAUGGGACCUUUGAGGAGGUUGUAAAGGAAGUGUCUUAUAGGAAUUUUUUUUCAUAAUGACUUGUUAAGCUAGCUAGUGCUUUUGAUGUUUAAAUAUUACCAAAGGUUCUAAAUUAUGUUAAUUUGGGGGAAGGAAAAACAAUAAAUUGAAGAAUUGAACCCUCAUUGAAGCCAUUUUUAUGGGUUCUCCAUAUACAUUAAUGAGCUAUGUUUGGGUAGAUUUUUCUUAUGGUUGUUGAAUUAAGUUUUGACACUGAAAGUUUUUUUUUUAGGCUUUCUGAAAGUUGAUGUCUGUUCAAGGAAGGGAAUUUUUGGAUUGAGAAAUUAUAGGAUUCAAACUAAGUGUUAAAUAUGAUUUGAUUUAGGCUAUCUCCAUAUUCUAGCUUUUCUGUUUUAGGGAUUGUAUAGUAUGUUUUUUACCCAAAUUUGGAAUUAACGGUAUCUAUCCUUAUCGAGGCUUAUUUGUGUGAAGACACAUUUUUUGUUGUUCAAAAUUCUCUAGAAUGAAAAGAUUCAUUGUGUGUUACACUCACAUGACCUCACACUUUAAUAAUUUGAUAGUUGUUAACCGACCUUUAUGUUGUUCUACCUAGUUUCUUCUUAUGGUAAUCGAUAUUUCUGAUAUUUUUGGUCGACUGUGGAUCAACAUUUAUGGCUGAAGUAAAUGAUUGGCGUGACCCGACGGAUAACCAUAUAUGUUGGGCUACUUCAACUACCAUCUUUCCUACUUUAUGUUUUUUGGAUUUUUGGACCGAGCAUUAGAAGAAAUAUGACCUUUAACGUCGGUUGAAAAAAAAUGAAAACGGAUCUUUAAUGUCAGUUUUUUAAAUGGGGAUGUUUAGUGUCGGUUUUCAACCGACAUAAAAAAGUUAUGGUAAUUUUUUUUUUUUUAAUUUUGUAGAGUCAAGUAUCCCUCGUUUAGUCUCACAUUUCUUCCUCGCCUCACGAUUUCUUCUCUCUCAAUUUUCUCUCAGUUUCUCCUCACUCUUCUCAAUCUCACUUUACUCCACCGUCAAGUCCGCCACAGUGGUGCCGUCCCAAAUCUUCAAAAGAUAUGUCGUCCAUCGUCGCACUGUUCCAGAUCUUCGAAGAUCUGUUGAACGUCGUCCCAAAUAGAAACCCUAAGUAUUCUCCAUGAAAUUGAAUCCCUUGUUUGAAACUCACGUUCAUCGUGCGACAUCAUCUUCUCUUUUUUGUGAGCCUUGGUAUAUAGCUACAGAUUUUGUUUUUCUUCUUUCACAAUAGUUUCUAAAUUAUCAAAGUUUCAUUUAAGUGUUAAGAUAUCAAUUCGUAGGAACAAGAGCUUAACUUCAAUUUCAAACCAGAAUGGAGAUCCUCCACAUUCCAUGGUCAUCGUGGCUAAUAAUAAGAAGAUAAUGGACACGAAUCCUAGAACAAAUGGGGCAGUAUAUCAUCAAGAUUCAAAACCCUCGAGCAGUAAGUAAGAUUGCACUUUAUUUUCCUAUUUUAACAAAAAGCACAUAGGCAAAAGAAUCAAUAGUUGCAUUUGAAAAGAUAGAAUUAAUUAUAAUAUGUUUUCCAAGUGUACUUAUCAAAGUAAUCUCUUUCGUCUUUUCAAAUUUUCUUCUGCUUUUUCCUUCGUAUUCAUCCUCAAGGUUCCAUGCUUUUUCUCUUCGCUUAUCCUCCAAUCUCUCAUUUUUUUUCUCUUUUUUUAUCAAUCUUUUCCCACUCUUUUUUCCUUUUUCCUUAAAUAUAUAUUAACAAAACUGGCCCUCAACGUUUUUAUCGUUCUUUUCUUUUUAAUUUCAUUAUCCUUCUUUUCUUUAAUUUAAGGUAUCUCAUCUUUUCUUCACCUUUUUUAUGGUUUCUUUUAUAAAAAGAAAAGAAUAAUAUUUAUGACCAUUUUUUUAUUUAUAUUUAUAAAAUUAAAUAAACAUGGAAGAUGGAGCUCAACUGUUAGAGCACUCGCUUGGCCAGUUCGAUAGACACAGUUAGACAUAGUUAGACAUAGUUAGACAUAGGGAUUGAUACCCAUUGGCAGCAUCUCCAUGGUCUUUUAAUCAAAUUCAAUAACACAUCUAUAUUUCUUUAUUUAUUAGAUUGUUGACUAGAAAAUACGUUGGGGUUUUUUCCUCUUUUUAAAAAGUUGUCUUUCUUUUAGGAAAUCGAUUAAAAACUAUUUCGUAAAAAUAAUUGUAACAAAUGAGAUUUGGACUCACAACCAACACAACACUUGUGCAAGGGGGCACAACCACUUCAGCACAAGUAUAAUUUAGGCAAAGAAAAGCCGAAUUUAAUAUGUACUACUAUAAUCUAACACUUAUAAGUAAGAGAGAUACAAAACUAUCUUCAAAUUGAUUCCAAACUAUCUUCAAAUCUAUCAACUGUGUACUGCUAAGCAAGAGAGAUACAAAAAGUAGAAGAUUCCAUUUUAUCAAAAUUAGACACAAUGGAAAUGAAUAUGUUGACUGUUAUAAACCACACACAACUAUAUAAAUACCAAACUCCUAACUCCUAAGUAUUCACGAACAAAACACAUAAACUUUACUACAUAAUAUAUCAUCUUCUAAAACUAUCUGUCCAUCAAAAGUAGAUUGUUGCAGUAUGAGUUUAGUAAUUAAGGGAUCACCUAUUCCAAACAUCGAUCAGCGAAAGGACGUGCAACAAAUUGGACGGAUUGCAGUGGACAUACACAACGAAGACAAAUCAGACACUUUGAUUUUCCAUCGUGUGAUAAACGGCCUGGAGAAUGCAGUGGAUACUUGCAAGUCGUAUGCUCUUGUGGUGGAAGUUAUCAAGGAUAAAAUUAUCUGGACAUAUGCGACUUUGAUUACAAUUCCACAAACAUCAAGCUAUGAACUCGUAUAUUUUAGAGAUCCCCUCGGGUACUACCCCUAAUAGUAUGAAAACAAUCCUUCUAUAUGUAUGUGUGUGUGUGUGAGAGGCAUUAUUGUCUUUGGCCUAUAUGAAAAUAAAUGGUAUAACCAUAUAAUAAGAACAAUGAUACUUAUCUAUUAUCUCUCUUUCUAGUUUUUCUUUUUUAUCAAAUUUUGCAGUCAAGUAUUCAUGG